rnacentral:rRNA from 1 species
UGGGGAAUAUUGCACAAUGGGCGAAAGCCUGAUGCAGCGACGCCGCGUGCGGGAUGAAGGCCUUCGGGUUGUAAACCGCUUUUAAUUGGGAGCAAGCGAGAGUGAGUGUACCUUUUGAAUAAGCACCGGCUAACUACGUGCCAGCAGCCGCGGUAAUACGUAGGGUGCAAGCGUUAUCCGGAAUUAUUGGGCGUAAAGAGCUCGUAGGCGGUUUGUCACGCCUGGUGUGAAAGUCCAUCGCUUAACGGUGGAUCUGCGCCGGGUACGGGCAGGCUAGAGUGCAGUAGGGGAGAUUGGAAUUCCCGGUGUAACGGUGGAAUGUGUAGAUAUCGGGAAGAACACCAAUGGCGAAGGCAGAUCUCUGGGCUGUUACUGACGCUGAGGAGCGAAAGCAUGGGGAGCGAACAGGAUUAGAUACCCGUGGUAGUCCAUGCCGUAAAA